AACAUCGCGCACCUGCGGGAACCUGCGGAGGGAUCAUUACAGAGUUGCAAGACUCCCUAAACCAUUGUGAACGUUACCUAAACCGUUGCUUCGGCGGGCGGCCCGGGUCCUUCCCGGCGCCCCUCGGCCCUCGCGGGCGCCCGCCGGAGGUAAACCAAACUAUUGCAUUGUAUGGCCUCUCUGAGUCUUCUGUACUGAAUAAGUCAAAACUUUUAACAACGGAUCUCAGAUCGGAAGAGC
rnacentral:misc_RNA from 1 species